ACAUCCGCUAAAAAGCAAUGAGAAAUCCGCCAGAUUCCGCUAGAUUCUAAAACAUAUCCGCUAAAUUUCCCGCUAGGGCCUAUUUUAUUCAAAAAAUACUGCAAUUUCGUAUGAUAAAUACCUUUAUCAUUCUUAAAAGCUCCCCAGAACUACGAGAGCUGAAAUAACAUAUAAAAUAGUCUUUCAAGGAGUCUAACUAGAACACUUGAGGCUUCGGUGCUGCGGUGGUCGUCAUUGGUGAACCUCAUCACAGAUGAGGCUAAAAGUUAUAAAUGUUCACACUGAUCAAAAAAAAAACUCACAGGUCAACGAAAAACACAUCGAGGUCUUCGUCGCCGCUGUUGUCGUCUGACACCAUCUCCACAGGACCGCUGGUACUCGUUGAGGGACCAGACAGGUGACUUGGUUGCACAUACGUUGCAGAUGUCCCGAUUGCACUAACAACUGCCGCGGGAAGUUCGUAAUCAAAACAACUUUUCUGGUGUCGCUUCAGCCCCGCUCUUACGACGAGGAUGGCAUUUGUUGUUUCAGGCUUCAGCUUGUUCCUCAGCUUGGAUUUUACUAUGUUAAGCUGACUAAAUGUCCUCUCUA